GCCAAUUGGAAUCCACCAUCGCACUUGGUUCACUUCUCUUUUUUUGGAAGAAAAACUAUUUUUAUGUUGGAGGAUUUUUUUUAGUUCCAGGCAAGCCCUAUUGUUCGCUGAUCCAGAUGGGCCUCAGAAAACAAAUUUACCUUCCAACCAAUCCCUUGUGUCAUUGGAGGAAAACAUUACCUUGGCUUCCAUCUUUCCUACUGAAAUGUUUGGUGCUCUAUGUAAGAGAGAGUCUGCCUUUGCAAACUGACGUUCACCAGAUAUGUUUGUAGAUGAACACGUAGCAGCAGCUUCACAUAGAUCCUGUCCUGGUUCCCAAAAGACUCCCCCUUGCAAUUGGUCUUCUAGUUGUCUCUUGCACACAAUGACACAUUCGUGCAUCAUUUUCCCCAAGAUAGGACAUAGAGGAGCUUUUUUGUCAUCAUUCAUGUCAUCAAUGAAUGGUAUAGCUGCACAUUCUCCAAAGGCACAUGUAUUGGUAGAGAGCAUCAGUUGUGGAUCCAUCUCCCAACUCGACAUACAAUUGACUGCUUCCUGGUAUGCAGUGUUAAUUCCAAGAAUGUUGUCUGCUGUACCUACCAUCUUCAUCCAUGGCUCCGUAAUCUUGAGUGAAAUAAGAGCUAAACAACAAAUACAAGCCUGAAG